UAGUCCGCACGAGCGCACCCUUGCCCUCUGUCUGCCACCGGGUAAUGCCGAGCACUCUGAGGGGACUGCGCCGGAUAACGGCGAGGAAGGUGAGGACGACGUCAAGUCAUCAUGGCCCUUAUGUCCAGGGCUGCACACGUGCUACAAUGGCCGGUGCAAAGGGUCGCGAUACCGCGAGGUGGAGCCAAUCCCAAAAAACCGGUCUCAGUUCGGAUUACAGUCUGCAACUCGACUGUAUGAAGCUGGAAUUGCUAGUAAUCGUGGAUCAGCAUGCCACGGUGAAUACGUUCCCGGGUCUUGUACACACCGCCCGUCAAGCUAGGAAAGCCGGAUAUCCCUGAAGUCGCGGACCUAACCCGCAAGGGAGGGGAGCGCCGAAGGUAGAGCUGGCGAUUCGAGCUAAGUCGUAACAAGGUAGCCGUACCGGAAGGUGCGGCUGGAUCACCUCCUUU
rnacentral:rRNA from 1 species